UAGGACGGCCAUAGGGACUUGGUAAUACCUGCUCUCAUUUCGAACGCAGAAGUCAAGCGAGUCUCCGUUUCUGGUUGUACUGCACUGUGUUGCGGGAACUCAGGAAAGCUGUCCGAU
rnacentral:rRNA from 1 species